CCCUUAGAUGUUCUGGGCCGCACGCGCGCUACACUGAUGCAUUCAACGAGUUUCUUCCUGGUCCGAGAGGAAUGGGUAAUCUUUUGAAAGUGCAUCGUGAUUGGGAUAGAUGAUUGCAAUUCUUCAUCUUCAACGAGGAAUGCCUAGUAAACGCAAGUCAUCAGCUUGCAUUGAUUACGUCCCUGCCCUUUGUACACACCGCCCGUCGCUCCUACCGAUUGAAUGAUCCGAUGAAUACCAUGGAUUGAGAGUACGAAUAGGUUCGCUUAUUUCUGCUGCUCGAGAAGUGGAGUAAAUCUUAUCAUUUAGAGGAAGGAGAAGUCGUAACA
rnacentral:rRNA from 1 species